GACGAACGCUGGCGGCGUGCCUAAUACAUGCAAGUCGAGCGAAGCGGCGGAUUGGUGAGUAACGCGUGGGUAACCUGCCCUUCUGUCUGGGAUACUAUUUGGUAACAGAUGCCAAUACCGGAUACUUAAGGAUUGACCUGCGGUGCAUUAGCUAGUUGGUAAGGUAACGGCUUACCAAGGCGAUGAUGCAUAGCCGAGGUGAGAGACUGAUCGGCCACAUUGGGACUGAGACACGGCCCAAACUCCUACGGGAGGCAGCAGUGGGGAAUAUUGCACAAUGGGCGCAAGCCUGAUGCAGCCAUGCCGCGUGUAUGAAGAAGGCCUUCGGGUUGUAAAGUACUUUCAGCGAGGAGGCGUUACUCGCAGAAGAAGCACCGGCUAACUCCGUGCCAGCCGCCGCGGUAAUAC
rnacentral:rRNA from 1 species